rnacentral:rRNA from 1 species
UACGUAGGGUCCAAGCGUUAUCCGGAAUCACUGGGCGUAAAGCGUGCGUAGGCGGAUGUUUAAGUGCAACAUGAAAUCCCGUGGCUCAACCAUGUGGACUGUAUUGCAUACUGGACGUCUUGAGGACAUGAGAGGCAAGUGGAAUUACUGGUGUAGCAGUGAAAUGCGUAGAGAUCAGUAGGAACACCAAUGGCGAAGGCAGCUUGCUGGCAUGUAUCUGACGCUAAGGCACGAAAGCGUGGGGAGCGAACAGG